rnacentral:tRNA from 1 species
GCAAGGUGGCUCAGUGGCUAAGAGCACUGGCUACUGUACCAGAGGACCUGGGUUCAAUUCCCUGCGUGCA